UACGUAGGGUGCGAGCGUUGUCCGGAAUUAUUGGGCGUAAAGAGCUCGUAGGCGGCCUGUCGCGUCGGAUGUGAAAGCCCGGGGCUUAACCCCGGGUCUGCAUUCGAUACGGGCAGGCUAGAGUGUGGUAGGGGAGAUCGGAAUUCCUGGUGUAGCGGUGAAAUGCGCAGAUAUCAGGAGGAACACCGGUGGCGAAGGCGGAUCUCUGGACCAUUACUGACGCUGAGGAGCGAAAGCGUGGGGAGCGAACAGG
rnacentral:rRNA from 1 species